rnacentral:rRNA from 1 species
CGCAAUGGCGCUGCUAUACAUGCAGUCGAGCGGACAGAUGGGAGCUUGCUCCCUGAUGUUAGCGGCGGACGGGUGAGUAACACGUGGGUAACCUGCCUGUAAGACUGGGAUAACUCCGGGAAACCGGGGCUAAUACCGGAUGCUUGAUUGAACCGCAUGGUUCAAUUAUAAAAGGUGGCUUUUAGCUACCACUUACAGAUGGACCCGCGGCGCAUUAGCUAGUUGGUGAGGUAACGGCUCACCAAGGCAACGAUGCGUAGCCGACCUGAGAGGGUGAUCGGCCACACUGGGACUGAGACACGGCCCAGACUCCUACGGGAGGCAGCAGUAGGGAAUCUUCCGCAAUGGACGAAAGUCUGACGGAGCAACGCCGCGUGAGUGAUGAAGGUUUUCGGAUCGUAAAACUCUGUUGUUAGGGAAGAACAAGUACCGUUCGAAUAGGGCGGUACCUUGACGGUACCUAACCAGAAAGCCACGGCUAACUACGUGCCAGCAGCCGCGGUAAUACGUAGGUGGCAAGCGUUGUCCGGAAUUAUUGGGCGUAAAGCGCGCGCAGGCGGUUUCUUAAGUCUGAUGUGAAAGCCCCCGGCUCAACCGGGGAGGGUCAUUGGAAACUGGGGAACUUGAGUGCAGAAGAGGAGAGUGGAAUUCCACGUGUAGCGGUGAAAUGCGUAGAGAUGUGGAGGAACACCAGUGGCGAAGGCGACUCUCUGGUCUGUAACUGACGCUGAGGCGCGAAAGCGUGGGGAGCGAACAGGAUUAGAUACCCUGGUAGUCCACGCCGUAAACGAUGAGUGCUAAGUGUUAGAGGGUUUCCGCCCUUUAGUGCUGCAGCAAACGCAUUAAGCACUCCGCCUGGGGAGUACGUCGCAAGACUGAAACUCAAAGGAAUUGACGGGGCCCGCACAAGCGGUGGAGCAUGUGGUUUAAUUCGAAGCAACGCGAGAACCUUACCAGUCUGACAUCUCUGACACCCUAGAGAUAGGCUUCCUCGGGGCAGAGUGACAGUGUGCAUGUGUCGUCAGCUCGUGUCGUGAGAUGUUGGUAGUCCGCACGAGCGCACCCUGAUC